rfam:Actinoplanes friuliensis DSM 7358, complete genome.
CCCGGUCCUCGGUAGUGGUUCCCGAGCAUUGAAUCUCGGGCACUUCGAUCGAAGACCGGC